GUGACACCCAGGCGCCCCUGCAGGUGUGUUUAAAGCUGACCAGCUGCUUCCCGGUCACCGCAGGAGCUGACCCUGCUGGCUGGAUGCCAUCCACUCUGUCCCCUGCUCCUCGCUGAACCCCCGUGGAAGGGGCUGGGUCCUCCCUCACAGAAAGAAAGCAGGUGAUGAGAGGCCACGACAGUGUCCUGAGGUCCCCCAGCUGGCAAGAGCUAGGACAAGUGCACCUUUGAGGCAGGCAAUUGGCAAAGCGCUCCCCAGAUGCCGCAGGACAAUGGGGUCUGGCUGGCAGCUGUCCUCGAGGCGGGCAAAACUAGUGUAUGCAUUUGAUAGGUGGGAAGACUGAGGCCCCGAGAGGUUCAGUGACUUCCCCAAGGUCACACGGCGAGUCAGCGGUAGAGCUGCGAUCUGAACCUGACUCUGGAACUGCACUCCACGCUCCCUUACCUAUUCCCAGUGGCCUCGGCUCUGAAGGGCAGGAACUGGGUCCUGUGGCCCUUGGAACCUCCACCAUAUAUACCAUCAUGUAAACGUGUUUGUUGAGUGAAUAAAUGAGUGAAUUAUGCACUCCUUGUCCUUUAAAACACAGUACAGUCAACCAGUCUGCUGGCACAAAUCUGGAGUGUUUCUGGUCGGGGAUGAAGGGGAGAGAGGAGUGAAUCUCCUGGGGGACCCAGAGGUGACAAGCCUCUCAGUAGUUCCAACUCGGGGGCCAUUACUAGGGACCCUCUGAUCUCCCCCCCCCUCCUUGCUCACCAGUCUGUUAUAUUGGGGUUCUGUGUCAUGUAUACAGAGGGCACAGAGCCAUGAUUUGGUUUUAUGUGGUGUCUUGAGACUUUCCAGUGAGAUAAUGGAUUACUGUUGACCCAACAUCUGGGCAAAAAGAGCCUGCUAUGCGUGGUCAUCCAAGUCAGCUUCUGGAGGUGGCCAAAGUGAGACAUGAAGGGAAGGGGGCCAUGAUGGACCCUGCACCUGUGGCCAGUGAGAGCAGCAUUUGCUGUAUGCAAGUAUGGUUCUGAGCUCUUGACGCAUUUAAUCCUGAGCACAGCUCCACGAAAUUGUGCCGGUGAAUGAGGCCAAGUAAUGUGCCCAAAGUCACACAGCAGCAGGAGUUGGGCAGGGAAUUCAGCCUUCACCACGCCAUGCCCUUAACCCUGGGGCAACGCUGCUUCCCUGUGGCACAGCGGGCUAACCCGCUGUGAGCACAUGAGUGGGUGUUGGGGGAGAAUCCACGGAUCUGCACUGCCUGGUGCCUCCUACAGGGGGCUACGGCCCAUGGGCCCCCGAUUCAUCCGCAUCAGAUGACGUCCCCUUCUCGCUCCCGUGGAGCGUGGCUGGGCCCCGAGUACGCACUCCAAACACAUUCAUAAAACCAGUGACCGAACAGACGUCUGGGGGUGGGGGGAACAGCCAUUAUGGAAGUUCGAGGCCUUGGAGUUCACACCCUCACAAUCCUACGUGUGCAUCCACUUCUCCCAAAUAUAUCAUCUCAGAUCUGCUUGAGAAGAGAUGUCCAGUGCCAGCUCCGUGACCCAUUAAAGCUAACCAGCCGUGCGGA